rnacentral:lncRNA from 12 species
UACACUUUCAUAUUUACCCUCAGUAACUUUAUAUGCACUUUUUCCCAUUCACUACAGAGGCAGAAGCAAUGGAUGUUGCUGUGGCAGUCCGUCAAUUAUGUGGGGGAGAACAUACACGGACAGUAUUUUCAGAAUCUGCCCUUGACUCCUACUUCAAAUACAACUCACUUAAUUAGUUUGUUUUGGAACUUCAACUGCCUACUGGAGAGUCUACCUAUGAGAGCCCAGUUACUCCAAAUUUAUUGUAUUCUGGAGUAAAGAACGUGGCCUUUGUCCUGGUUCUUCAGAGGAAUCCUCGAAAUCCUUGAAUUUCCAAAAUGUUAAGACUGUCUUUGUUAUUUUUGGAGGCUUUUUGAGCCACAACUGAAUUUCUGCUAAUAAGAUAACUCCUGGAGUGCCUUU